UUCCUGGUCAUUUGGGAGAGUAAAAGUCGUACAGGUUCCGUAGGUGAACCUGCGGAGGAUCAUUA
rnacentral:rRNA from 1 species